UAGGGAAUCUUCCACAAUGGACGCAAGUCUGAUGGAGCAACGCCGCGUGAGUGAAGAAGGUUUUCGGACCGUAAAGCUCUGUUGUUGGUGAAGAAGGAUAGAGGUAGUAACUGGCCUUUAUUUGACGGUAAUCAACCAGAAAGUCACGGCUAACUACGUGCCAGCAGCCGCGGUAAUCGUAGGUGGCAAGCGUUGUCCGGAUUUAUUGGGCGUAAAGCGAGCGCAGGCGGAAGAAUAAGUCUGAUGUGAAAGCCCUCGGCUUAACCGAGGAAUUGCAUCGGAAACUGUUUUC
rnacentral:rRNA from 1 species